rnacentral:lncRNA from 1 species
CAAAUUUGAGGGUCCCAAAAAAGGGAGAUCUGGCACCAAUCAACCAAAUCAUAAUUCAGAAAAUAGAGACAGAGGUUCACGUUCUAAAGCCCGUGCCAAUGAUGCUGGAUUCGAUAACCAACCUAAGAGAAGUGAUAGAGAAGAGAGGUCAAGGCGGUGGCAUGAUGAUGAUGAUACAUAUAAGGGAAGAGAAAAUAAUAAUAGAGGAGAAGAGAAGGGAUCAAGAAGGUAUGGAGAUGAUGAAUUUGAACGUAAGUCGAGAGAAGUACGAUAUAGGAGAGAAGAAAAGAAAUCAAGAAAGGAUGAUUACGAUGAUAUUCCUGAGCAAAAAGAUCAUCGUAGAAGGGAAGACAAGAGGUCAAUAAAGCCAGAUGAUGGUGAGUAUGAACCCAAGUUGAGAGAUUCGGACAUAAGGGAAGAUAAAGGACCCCG